CACCUGUAAAAUUUUAGUUUUUUUAGUUUUUGUUUAAAUCUUUUCAAUUAAUAAAAUUGGACUUAGCUUUAUAUCUAUGUUCUUUCUCCAAUUUCAAUGAAUUUAUUUGUAUCUCAUGAUUCAUAGUUUUAAUUCCAAUGCUUCAUAUUUCCAAAAUGGAAAUAUGAAGAUGGAAUAUGACAUGAAUGCUUUGUACACUUUAUUAAUUCAAUAAAUCAGAAUUAAAUAUUUACUGUGGAAAGUCUGAAGUGGUGAGAUGUCAAGAUUCCUUUUCUAACUUAAUUUAUGUCAACAGGGAGGUGAUAUUCAAUGAAUGCAGUACAUGUUAACAGGUGCUAAGUGUAAUGAAGAAUAUAAGUCAGAAUUAAGUGCCAAUGUACUUAUUCAGCAGAUCUCUUUCUUCAGGAAAUUUGAGGAGGACCUCUUAAUAAAUUUAUAUCUGAGCCAAGAUGUGAUUUAAGUGAGAAAAUGAGUCACAUACAAAAUUGAGGCACAAUAUUGAGUAAGGAGAGCUUAGCACAAAGAAACUGAUGUGAGAUUGUGAAUGGAUUUCACUAAUUUCACCUGUCAUGUAGCUGAAGCACAGUAAAGAAGGGAGGAGACUCAGACAUGGUGAGUGCUGUGGCCUGAAUAGGCCCUGAAUGCUUCACGGUGGUCCCUUGAUAUUAAAGUCCUGGUCACCAGGUUGUCAGCAUUGAGUGUUAGUGGUAAAUUUGGAGCAUGUGACCUGGUUGGCAUUCUUUAGGUCAUUGUGCCCUUGUCAGGAGAAAGAAUUGGGCCAUAAGUGUCUCCCUUCCCUUCCCUCUUUCCUUUGCCUUCUAUCUACCCUCACCCUCUCUCCCUCUCUCCCUUUCUCCCUCUCCUCUCCUCUCCCCUCCCCUCAUCCCCCCUCCCCCCGCCUGUUUGGUGAUAUGAUAUUUUCCACACAUGUUAACUCUUGCCAAACUAUGACACCAAUAUAUCCUCAUCAGAAGUCAAACCAAUAGGACCACCUAAUCUUGAUCUUUCAAUCUAGAAAGUUGUGAGCUAAAUAAAUUUUUAUUUUUUUAAUUUGCUACCUCAGGUAAUAAAACAAAGCUGAUGAGUGCAUUAAGGAUAUACAAGAAAUUCGAGGACAGAUCAGUUGCGUAUGAUGAAAAUUUCAGAAUUAAAUACCCAGAUCUUUCAGGUAUUUUCAUAUAAAAUGAAAGCAGCUUGAAAUUCAAAAGCCCUAUGUUGCCAGGAGGAGGACUAGGUGCUUCGAAGCUUCAGAUUGUGUUCUCAGACUUCAUCCAUUAUUCAUCAUGACAAAAGAGCCCAUGGCAGAAGGUAUCUCCUCAUCUUUGAUCUUUUCACCUCAAGCAGGGUUAAUCCAGCAGUUUCCAUCUCUUGUCUUAAGGGUUCCAUGACACAGAAUCAGUUGUCUAUGUCAAAUAAGAAAAGAGAAAGCCUGCAAGGCUUUGAGGGAUUACCCCAACUCAGAAUCUGUGGCAGAAACAAAUGAGAAAUUUCUCUGGGAUUGCACAGGAAGCACUGUUGUAUUUCCUGUUGAAUUUUCACCAUUCUUUCCAUCACAGUCUCACGUCUAUGACUUUGAUUUUAAUUUUUGCUUCCAUUUAGUUAUGUAUUUGCAAUGUAUUUGAUGUUUUCUCAGGCUUAUUGAUAGAGAAUUUCCAUGUAAUAU
ensembl:lncRNA